CUUCCGCUUGAUCUAUUGGGCCUGCAUUCAUGGCGGCUUCUGAAUUGCCCGAUAUUCAGUUGCUGCGCCGGGGCGCUUGUUCCACUCGGGCUUUCCGUGCCCAUGCAUCUACUGUGUGUGUUGCUUCGACGGGUGAUUCUUCUGGCGAUGGUUCAUCUAUGCGGCGUAGAGAAGAGAUUCGGCUUGGGAAACGCCCUCUUGAUCAUACUAUUGGUGCCUCUUUCUGUCAGCCUCCGAGUUAUGUGGCUCUCGCUGAUCCUCCUAUCCUUUCGGCCGAUGCAUGCGUCGGCAAUUUUCUUGUUCUUUGACGUGACAUCAUUUUCAGUUUGAUCAGUUGUAUGGGUUGUGCGUUUCGCAUGUGUUGUAAUUUGUCGGUCGCAUGGUUUUCUCCUUUGGGUGCGGGCAUUCCGAGCUGCCCAUGCACGCGCCAUGUAUCGAUGGCUAUGCCGUCAACGUUCAUGCCCCAUGCAUGUGUCUCCCUUGUGCCUACGUGCGACUUCUGUCUGUAUGGCCCACGCAUGUGCUGCUGAGGGUUGUACGUGUG